rnacentral:lncRNA from 1 species
GCCCGUGUCUGCCUUCUGCGAAUCUGCGGUAGUGCGGUUCUGCCCUUGAGGCUUGAGUGGUUGAGCCCUUGUGGCCUUCUGUCAAGUGUCAAGAUGUCAAGUACUAAGUUCUUGCUUCUUGGUUUCCUCUUUCUCUUUGGUUUUCACUUUUCAGGGCACUGCUAAGAGAGUCCGGUCACAGAGAUUUGGGAAUUUGUGGAGCUGCACUGCUGCGGUCCCCGGU